rnacentral:rRNA from 1 species
CUGGCGGCAUGCCUAAUACAUGCAAGUCGAACGCUGAAACACUCUGCUUGCAGAGUGUGGAUGAGUGGCGAACGGGUGAGUAACACGUGGGGAAUCUGCCUAUAAGUGGGGGAUAACAUUCGGAAACGGAUGCUAAUACCGCAUAUAUUCAAAAACCGCAUGGUUUCUGAAAGAAAGACGGCUUCGCUGUCGCUUAUAGAUGAUCCCGCGGCGUAUUAGUUAGUUGGUGGGGUAAUGGCCUACCAAGACCAUGAUACGUAGCCGACCUGAGAGGGUGAUCGGCCACACUGGGACUGAGACACGGCCCAGACUCCUACGGGAGGCAGCAGUAGGGAAUCUUCCACAAUGGGUGCAAACCUGAUGGAGCAAUGCCGCGUGAAUGAAGAAGGUCUUCGGAUCGUAAAGUUCUGUUAUUAGAGAAGAACAAGUCAAGGAGUAACUGUCUUGACUUUGACGGUACCUAACCAGAAAGUCACGGCUAACUACGUGCCAGCCGCUGC